AUAAUGCAGUCGAACGCUUUGUGGUUCAACUGAUUUGAAGAGCUUGCUCAGAUAUGACGAUGGACAUUGCAAAGAGUGGCGAACGGGUGAGUAACACGUGGGAAACCUACCUCUUAGCAGGGGAUAACAUUUGGAAACAGAUGCUAAUACCGUAUAACAAUGACAACCGCAUGGUUGUUAUUUAAAAGAUGGUUCUGCUAUCACUAAGAGAUGGUCCCGCGGUGCAUUAGCUAGUUGGUAAGGUAAUGGCUUACCAAGGCGAUGAUGCAUAGCCGAGUUGAGAGACUGAUCGGCCACAAUGGGACUGAGACACGGCCCAUACUCCUACGGGAGGCAGCAGUAGGGAAUCUUCCACAAUGGGCGAAAGCCUGAUGGAGCAACGCCGCGUGUGUGAUGAAGGGUUUCGGCUCGUAAAACACUGUUGUAAGAGAAGAAUGACAUUGAGAGUAACUGUUCAAUGUGUGACGGUAUCUUACCAGAAAGGAACGGCUAAAUACGUGCCAGCAGCCGCGGUAAUACGUAUGUUCCAAGCGUUAUCCGGAUUUAUUGGGCGUAAAGCGAGCGCAGACGG
rnacentral:rRNA from 1 species